rnacentral:rRNA from 1 species
UACGUAGGCAGCGAGCGUUGUUCGGAGUUACUGGGCGUAAAGGGUGUGUAGGCGGUUUUCUAAGUUUGGUGUGAAAUCUCCCGGCUCAACUGGGAGGGUGCGCCGAAUACUGAGUGACUAGAGUGCGGGAGAGGAAAGUGGAAUUCCUGGUGUAGCGGUGAAAUGCGUAGAUAUCAGGAGGAACAUCGGUGGUGUAGACGGCUUUCUGGACCGUAACUGACGCUGAGACACGAAAGCGUGGGUAGCAAACAGG